AACGCUGGCGGCAGGCUUAACACAUGCAAGUCGAGCGCCCCGCAAGGGGAGCGGCAGACGGGUGAGUAACGCGUGGGAAUCUACCCAUCUCUACGGAACAACUCCGGGAAACUGGAGCUAAUACCGUAUACGUCCUAAGGGAGAAAGAUUUAUCGGAGAUGGAUGAGCCCGCGUUGGAUUAGCUAGUUGGUGGGGUAAUGGCCUACCAAGGCGACGAUCCAUAGCUGGUCUGAGAGGAUGAUCAGCCACACUGGGACUGAGACACGGCCCAGACUCCUACGGGAGGCAGCAGUGGGAAUAUUGGACAAUGGGCGCAAGCCUGAUCCAGCCAUGCCGCGUGAGUGAUGAAGGCCCUAGGGUUGUAAAGCUCUUUCAACGGUGAAGAUAAUGACGGUAACCGUAGAAGAAGCCCCGGCUAACUUCGUG
rnacentral:rRNA from 1 species